rnacentral:piRNA from 1 species
ACAUGAACCAGGUGGAGGAGACAC